rnacentral:rRNA from 1 species
GGACGGGUGAGUAACACGUGGGUAACCUGCCUGUAAGACUGGGAUAACUCCGGGAAACCGGAGCUAAUACCGGAUAGUUCCUUGAACCGCAUGGUUCAAGGAUGAAAGACGGUUUCGGCUGUCACUUACAGAUGGACCCGCGGCGCAUUAGCUAGUUGGUGAGGUAACGGCUCACCAAGGCGACGAUGCGUAGCCGACCUGAGAGGGUGAUCGGCCACACUGGGACUGAGACACGGCCCAGACUCCUACGGGAGGCAGCAGUAGGGAAUCUUCCGCAAUGGACGAAAGUCUGACGGAGCAACGCCGCGUGAGUGAUGAAGGUUUUCGGAUCGUAAAGCUCUGUUGUUAGGGAAGAACAAGUGCAAGAGUAACUGCUUGCACCUUGACGGUACCUAACCAGAAAGCCACGGCUAACUACGUGCCAGCAGCCGCGGUAAUA